rnacentral:tRNA from 1 species
GCCUGGGUGGCUCAGUCGGUUGAGCUUCUGACUUCAGUUCAGGUCAUGAUCUCAUGGUCCGUGAGUUCGAGCCCCACAUCAGGCU